ACAUUUGCAACAUUUAGCCAAACUCAUGAAUUCUAAAAGCAUUCUUCCAAUCAUAACAAAAACAGAAACUCCGAGGAAACUUUGACAGCAAACACUCCGAAAUGCAAAGCAGGCCUACAUCUUCAAACAAAGUGCCACCGUUUGACAUCGAGUUACAGACAUUGUUUUCACUGUACAUUCUACUGUAUUUACACAGAAAACAAAGACCGAGAGUAUCUUUAAAGGUAACACAUCUCUGAACUUGACAAUUCCCGCCUGAAAUAGCUGGCAUCCACAGGCGAGGCGUGUACACAGUCUGUUGUGCCAUAAAUAGCGUAUUCUGGAGUGGAGAUGCUCUCCUGUGUACCCGACCAAUGGGACAGGCAGUAGCAGUGCUGGAGGUUACAGUGCUGGUAGUGGUAGUGCUCUGGAACAAACCCAUAACUCGAGUCCAUCCUGUUCGGAGAGUUGUAACACGACGAAGAGUAAGACUCCUGUGGCGAAUAACUAUUGUAAUCGACCGGACUUGACAUAUUUAGAGAACCUGAUGGUGAGCUGGGAGCCUGAAAAACAAUCCAGAGGAGAUGUGCAUUAAUAUUGUUGUACAGUAUAACCAAACCAUGUUCUAUUCCGAGCCAACUCUCUGGACGGACGAACAAACAGCCUGAGCUUUGUCAAAUAUUUCAGCUGACGGCUGGUAAUUGCAAAGACAGGUGAUUGCGCAAGCGAAUUUGAAUAAAGCAUACCAUGCCAUUGACGCAAUAGUCCAUAUUCAGGGAGUGAUUUUCCUGGGGCCAAAGUUUUGUUGAAGUAGCGGGAUACAUAAUACCACUGCUGUAGGUCUCGUUGGGCAUCGUCAUGCUUAUCAAUUGUUGAUUAUCGAAGCUUUCCAUCUGAACGCUGCUGUCUGGAAAGGCCCGCGGCUGAAAGCUGCCGUUGGAAUUCAUCUCUUGAGGGAAAUAAUCAAAAUAAUGGCCUAUAGGAAUAAACGAGAAGGAUCAGUCCGAGGUUGCAUACAUAAACACAUGCAGGGGCCAUUUAAAAAAUUGAAGACUCCAGAAGUGAUGUCACGGCACCACCAGCCAACAGCUAAAAAACACAUUUGAAUGCAAGUUUAUAAAAAGGUCCCAGUAUAUGUUUCGAACUAUUCUGCUGUGGUCGUUGAUUCUCCAUGUAAGUGUAAAUCUAGAUAUUUACCUGACCGAAUCUGAUGUGCAAUUCAGAUUUGAUUUUAUAAUAGGCUUAUGCGGUGGAUUUGACAGCUAUUUAUCUAUUUGCAUGUAUUAUGCAUAAUGCAUUGCCUUCUGCCUUUUUGAUCGAAGCUUGUUUAUUUGAUUAUGGUUUACUGCAACGCCCCCACUGGACAUGUCAAAAGGAUUUUACUGUACUUUACUGUAGGCUACAUGUAUUUUCGUUAGCAGGUUUGGAUACAGUCAAGAGCAUUACUUUUUGACUAUAGAACAUUGAUUCUGGACUUUCCAUGGUGAUGCUUUACCAUACAAUCAUUGUGCGAUCAAGACAAUGGAAUGCUGUGUAUAAAUACUGACUAAUAUAUGGACAUAUUGGAACGUACCUGGCAAGGAGGAGGAGACGCAAACAUCCUGACUCGCCAAGCUCUGGGAUUUCUAUUAAUUUAGGAAAAGAGAAAAGGAGGGAUACAGAGAGAAAACAUAAGUCCCAAUUGAUUUACAACAGUUCGAUUCUUGGGCUGGUUAUUUUUCAUCAUUUUUCAUCCCAGUACUCUAUAGCACUGUAUAGCAUAAUAAUGGCAUUUGCCGAUUUGUUUAUUCUUCCUCUUCAUUUGAUUGAGUGUGUGUGUUUGAGCCAAUUGUUGCCAGUUGCCAUAAAGACAUCAUAAGGACAUCUUUUCUGAUUUAUGCAUCUGAAUUUACUGUAAAAUAUCACAUAAAACAGCUGCUACAGUUCCUACAGGAAAACAAGUCCCACUGUUACUGCUAAACGAUUAUCAACUGAUAGGCUACUGGAGAGUAGACCUGGUGGUGAAUCAUUAAUGAGGCAUGGAACUUUGUGUUUGGUGUAAGGUUGGUAAUGAGGAAGUUACAGCAAUGGGGAUUUCAUGGAGAGAGCAACACCUCCAACUAUGCUGAGACUGUGUGUGUGUGUGUGUGUGUGUGUGUGUGUGUGUGUGUGUGUGUGUGUGUGUGUGUGUGUGUGUGUGUGUGUGUGUGUGUGUGUGUGUGUGUGUGUGUGUGUGUGUGUGUGUGUGUGUGUGUGUGUGUGUGUGUGUGUGUGUGUGUGUGUGCCCCCCGAUGCGUGCGUAUGUAAGUCCUUGCGUGCCAGUCAGAGCGAGACGAGAGAGAGUGAGGUGAUAAUUACCAUUCUAACUGUUUUAAUUGCUGUCUGGAGAGCUCUCUGCUGUUGCAGCAACUCUUUGACAGUUGUCUUCACCCGCACGCCCUGGUACACCUUUGGCUUAUCUGUCAGAAGAGGGAAACAUUGUAUCGGUGUUUACUGUUAGUGACAAAACAACGGAAUGCUCCCAACCCUGCCUCUCUCGAGCACUUUCACUGCCUGCUAUAUACUUUCACGCAACAAUUAAUUUGGCCUACUUAAUCAUUAAAAAACAUUGGAAAAUUAUUACAAAUAUUAAAAUGAUUAAAAAACACACGGAUACAAAAGAUGGUUUGUAUAUCCGGGUAUUUAAUAUAAUGUAUUACACCUAGACUUAUUUGUGAAUAAUAUGAACAAACGACUGUCCUUAUGCAUCCCUCAAAUGUUGCCCAAGUUAUUGUAUCAAACUCGCAGGUGCGAAAGUCAGAAAUGUCCUAUUAUUGUCCUACCUAGGUCUAUAGUCUCUUCCCUGUAGUCUACCUCUGCGAGAACCUCGCACCGCAGAGACCGGGUUUCGAAUUUCACUGUCAAUACAGUGGUCUUGCCUUCACACUCAUUUCAAGCACAACGGAAAAACCUGUGCUAAAAUGAUACUGUGAGUGUAACUUCUCGAUUUUAUUUAGAUAAUAUAUUUAUUUUAAUUCUAUACAUAGGCCUAAAACACAGAUUAAGCGUUGCGAUCCAUGAAAGGGGUUGAUAGUAGCAUAUUCAGUGAAAGUAGGCAAGUAAAAUUAGGCUACAGAUAAAGCUGGCAAACAGCGGCCUCGUAAGAGUCAAUAACAAAGAAACCAAAGGACUCCACAAAUCCCGCAAAAAUGAGGUGAAAAUUGAAGAUUUCGCUUGAGAAAUUCGUCCGAUUAUAAAAGAAGAACGUAAAAGAGAACCAUGAUCAGAAGAAACAGGAUUGAUGAACUUACCAGACAUGUUGUAAAAUGUAAGAAAGAGUCCUGGAAGAAAAGCAGUUAUGAGAUUCCACAAUGUCCUUUUCUGGCUCAGUUAUAUGGGCUAUAAUGAAAUAUUCAUAAAAAUCACACAAAUUCUCAACACACAAGUCUUAAAACUGUCUCAGAGCAUACAAUAAUAUCCUAAUAUAGCUAGGGAUGUAUUAGUUUGUGAAAUUUUCUCUCCAUGCCUACUUUUUAAAACCCCUAGAACUCAAUGAUUUGACAAUGAUUUGAUUGCGCGUUACUUUCAAUUUGAAUAUUCAAAGGCUACACAAAAAUACAUAUUUUUCAGUAUAAAUCAAUACAUAUGCACUUAAAAUAACAUUCCAUUUAAUAGAAUACAGCACCAUUUUAUACCCAAACCGAAAAGAAGUUGAUAUUUUAAACAUUUUAUCCAUCUUUUGCCAAUCUGGCCAUCAGUCCCCCUUCAUAAUGAGGCCCUACAGGAAAGUAACGGUAAGAUGCUCUAUCUAAACAUCACCAACCAUUACACAUCGCAGAUCACAUAUAUUUCAGGAAGGAUAAGCACAUCAACACGUUAUGACCAUACAUUUUUAGUCUUAUUUUAAACAACAAAAUA